UUUUUGAUUGAUGUUACUCGGACAACACCGAUAAAACAGAGUUUGGAGGGCCUUCGGCGGGCGCUCGCAGACCCGGGGCAAGCCCAGGGCCGACGCGGAGGAGAGACCCCCCCGGGGCCCGCCAAAGCAACAAAGGUAGGUACACACGGGGUGAAGAGUCGGGGCGGUUGGCCCCCGGGACACGAGGCCCCGUUCUCGGUAAUGAUCCUUCCGCAGGUUCACCUACGGAAA
rnacentral:misc_RNA from 1 species